CGUGUAGGCGGCUUGGUAGGUCUCGCGUCAAAACCUGAGGCUCAACCUCAGUUCGCGUGGGAAACCACCUAGCUAGAGUCCGGAAGAGGAGAACGGAAUUCCCAGUGUAGCGGUGAAAUGCGCAGAUAUUGGGAAGAACACCAGUGGCGAAGGCGGUUCUCUGGGACGGUACUGACGCUGAGACGCGAAAGCGUGGGGAGCGAACA
rnacentral:rRNA from 1 species